rnacentral:rRNA from 1 species
GAUGAACGCUGGCGGCGUGCUUAACACAUGCGAGUCGAACGGAGAGGCCGGGGCUUUCUCUGCUGGACGAGUGGCGAACGGGUGAGUAACACGUGAGCAAUCUGCCCCUGACUCUGGGAUAAGCGCUGGAAACGGCGUCUAAUACUGGAUACGAGCUGCGGAGGCAUGUUCAGCAGCUGGAAAGCACUGCGGUCAGGGAUGAGCUCGCGGCCUAUCAGCUUGUUGGUGAGGUAGCGGCUCACCAAGGCGUCGACGGGUAGCCGGCCUGAGAGGGUGACCGGCCACAAUGGGACUGCGGCACGGCCCAGACUCCUACGGGAGGCAGCAGUGGGGAAUAUUGCACAAUGGGCGCAAGCCUGAUGCAGCAACGCCGCGUGCGGGACGACGGCCUUCGGGUUGUAAACCUCUUUUAGCAGGGACGAAGCGAAAGUGACGGUACCUGCAGAAAAAGCGCCGGCUAACUACGUG